UUCUUUUAAGGGCAAACUUACUUAAAGGUGAGGACGCAAAAUCACAGGUCUAAGGUUCCUUCAGAACUAUGACGGCUGGAUUGAACAA
rnacentral:ncRNA from 1 species